rnacentral:sRNA from 1 species
GUUUCAUGAGAAAUACAGGUAAGCAUAAAUCACAGGUAUUCAUGAGUUGUCUGGAGUGACAGAGACAAAACCAAAGUAAAAACAAUCCCACAAAAAUCUGUCAAGCCGGAACGACGAAUACAUGUGUGAUGCAAUUUGUGAAUGGUUAUUAAUUCUGAUUGCAAAUUUACACCUUUUUGACAAAACUAGGGUUUGUCCUUCAAACGCCUCGCUGUAGCGCAGCAAUUUACCGGAACUUCCGUAUAGACUGAUUUGGUCUAUAUAAACUGAAUUUUGCUCGUCCGUUAGCACAAGCCAUUUGGAUCCAUUAUUGUUAACUUGGUGCAUAUUAAAGUUAAUAAGUUGAAAUUAAAGGAAGACACUCUCAACAGGACUAACGAUGAAGAAUCUUUCUAUGCUACUUGUUUUUUUUAGUUUAGCUUCACGAAGUGUUGCCGAUUCACCAGAUCCAGUCUACAAUUAUGGACCUCAGAGCUAUACCAAAGAUUCACCAGAUCCAGUCUACAAUCAUGGACUUGAGAGCUACACCAAAGAUGAUUGUGACUACUUGGGUCAAAUCUACAAGGUGGGCGUGGUUUUCUCGGCGGGAGACGGAUGUAAUGAGUGUCAGUGCGGAGCGGACGGAACGGUAGAGUGCACCAAGGAUCCUUGCUACCCAGGAUGUAGACAUUUAGGAGUGACCUAUACUGCUGGGGAUAUAUUUCCCAUGGGAGAUGACUGUAACACGUGUAAAUGUCUGAGAACGGGAAAAGUUCAGUGCUCCGAGAAAAAAUGUCAUCCAGACUGCUAUUAUGGAGGCGCUAGAUACACCACCGGUAACGUGUAUCCUAAGGGAGAUGGUUGUAACAGGUGCACGUGCAUGGUGACCGGGGACUCUUUAUGCACAUCGGACACCUGUGAGCCAACUUGUGAAUUCAAUGGAAAAGUCUACAAAUCUGGCCAAAAGUUCAGAAAAGGGGACGGUUGUAAUGAAUGUGUGUGUAUGCCAGGUGGAGUAACCCAGUGUACGAACAAACCUUGCUAUCCAGACUGUGUAUAUAAAGGACAGUAUUACACAAGAGGAGAUAUUUUCGACAAGGGAGACAACUGCAACAGUUGUAAAUGUAUGGCUGAUGGCACAGUUCAGUGCUCUGAAAAACAAUGCUUCCCAGAUUGUCGUUAUAAGGGAAUUGUAUACAAAGGCGGUCAAAGCUUUAAACCAGACCAGUGUAAUACGUGUUGGUGCACAGUUACCGGUGACAUCAGCUGCACAAAGUUUUCGUGCUACCCAGAUUGUGGCUACCAAGGCAAAAUUUUCAAGUCUGGAGAGAGUUUCCCCAAGGGAGAUAAAUGCAACACAUGUAUUUGUUCUAUCACUGGUGAAGUAAGAUGUACCGAAAUGUCAUGUGUUGACAACUAUAAAACUAAGAAAACACAAUCCUACAUUACUAAGAGACGACCCACCUUAUCAUAUGACAAUGAAGAAAAAUAGAAGAACUAAAUCCAGUCCAAGAUAUGUUCGAAUUCCAAGUUAAAAUUUCAUCGCUGUUCUUUAUGUUGUUAAUCAUUACCAUUUUGUUCUAUUUAUUAACAUUCACAAAAUCAUUGUUGUUGACAAUCGUCUACAAUUAAAUAAAAACUAAAAAUAAAGUGUCUUGAUGUCAGUUUACUAUGGUCCCAGUCGUAUUGCACGUCAGGACUAGCGGCAGUUCAAUAAAGACUUUAUUCCUGUG